GGUGGUGGAAAACAAACCAAAUGGGAUUCUUCAAGUAAUGGCGAAUGAACCUAGAUAUGCUCAAUUUGAAAAAUACAGUGAUACUGUUUGACAUGUAAUUUCAAAAUGUACAACCAAUUGGCAUGCAAGUGGAAGCUCAUUGAAAGAAUGCGUCGAAGAAGGUGAAAAUCCAUUUUGCCACUUGUAAUGUUGUUGUUUAUGGUGUAUAUUUCAGGAGUCACAUUCCUUGGCAUUGGAAUGCAAUGUGGGUGGUAAACUUCAUGCAAAGAUUAAUAUGUGUUUGAGAUUGAUAGUACACAAAUACCGUGAGGGAAAUAUGAAAAGGACUUUGAAAAGAGAUUUAAAAGAGUUUGCAGUUGCUGAACAAAAAACAAAUAGGAUGUCGACGAUUGAGCAGAUUGUUGAACCUCGGUUUGCUUCAAUUGCUAGCAUGUGUGUAUUCAAUGAUUCUAUCUUUGUCUACCAUACCAAUCUCAGCGUAUCAUGACACUUGCCGGUUUCGUGUUUUUGCUUGCGGGCUAAUGACAACACCUGCUUGAGAAUGGUAUGCCAAGUGUUCAUUGUGCUUAGAGUCUGCAUACUGCUUAUGUUAAGUUGCAAUACUGAACUUGUGCUUUGAGCUGUGCUUUACCUUCUGCAUAUGUCUAUUGGUGAUCAUAUCCUGCUUGACC
rnacentral:rRNA from 1 species